rnacentral:rRNA from 1 species
GAGUAAAGAUUUCGGUCGCUUUGGGAGGAGCUCGCUUACUAUCAGCUUGUUGGUAGGGUAAUGGCCUACCAAGGCUAUGACGGUUAGGGGGUGUGAGAGCAUGACCCCCAGCAUUGGCACUGAAACACUGGCCAAACACCUACGGGUGGCUGCAGUCGAGAAUCUUCCACAAUGGGGGAAACCCUGAUGGAGCGAUGCUGCGUGCGGGAUGAAGGCCUUCGGGUUGUAAACCGCUUUUGUAGGGGACGAAAUUUUUGACGGUACCCUUUCGAAUAAGAGGUUGCUAACUCUGUGCCAGCAGCAGCGGUAAUACAGAGACCUCAAGCGUUAUCCGGAUUUACUGGGCGUAAAGCGUCUGUAGGGGGUUUAUUAAGUUCCAAGUAAAAUUUCAAGGCUCAACUUUGAAUUCGCUUGGAAAACUAAUAAACUGGAGUCUAGCAGAGGUGCAUGGAACUUGUGGUGUAGGAGUGAAAUCCGUUGAUAUCACAAGGAACACCAAAGGCGAAGGCAUUGCACUGGGCUAGCACUGACCCUGAGAGACGAAAGCGUGGGGAGCAAAACGGAUUAGAUACCCGUGUAGUCCACGCCCUAAACGAUGAAUGCUAAAUGUUCGGGGAUUCGACCCCCUGGGUGUUACAGCUAACGCGUUAAGCAUUCCGCCUGGGAAGUACGGCCGCAAGGCUAAAACCCAAAGGAAUAGACGGGGAUCCGCACAAGCGGUGGAGCGUCUGGUUUAAUUCGACAGUAAGCGUGGUACCUCACCAGGGUUUGACAUCCCUUGACAGCCUUGGAAACAAGGUUUCCUUCGGGCAAGGUGACAGGUGCUGCAUGGUCGUCGUCAGUUCGUGCCGUGAGGUGUUCCGUUAAGUCGGGAAACGAACGAAACCCCUAUUGCAUGUUACAAUUUCUCAUGCAAGACUGCCCGGAUAUACUGGGAGGAAGGUGGGGAUGACGUCAGAUCUGCAUGGUCCUUAUACCCUGGGCGACACAGGCGCUACAAUGGCAGAGACAAAGGGUUGCAAAACCGCAAGGUGAAGCUAAUCCCAAAAACUUUGUCUAAGUUCGGAUUGAAGGCUGCAAUUCGCCUUCAUGAAGCUGGAAUCGCUAGUAAUCGUGAAUCAGCCACGUCACGGUGAAUAUGUUCCCGGAUCUUGUACUCACCGCCCGUCACACCAAGAGAGUUGGUAGCUCCCGAA